CCCAUAGAUUCAAUUCUAUCUGGUAAUAAGAUAUACAAUGAUCUCUAUCAUUGUAUCAUUGAAACUCUUUUCAAUAGGUCGGAACAAUUUCACUCUAACUCAGCAAGAAUCGUCAAUCCAGAACAAUCUUAGUGAGCUCUCACAAUCCACCAGUGACACCUAAUAAUAUGUAGUGGCAAUCCAGUAGAUUAGAAAUAAAUCUCUAG
rnacentral:lncRNA from 1 species